UACGUAGGGUGCAAGCGUUGUCCGGAAUUAUUGGGCGUAAAGGGCUCGUAGGCGGUUUGUCGCGUCGGGAGUGAAAACUCAGGGCUUAACCCCUGAGCCUGCUUCCGAUACGGGCAGACUAGAGGUAUGCAGGGGAGAACGGAAUUCCUGGUGUAGCGGUGAAAUGCGCAGAUAUCAGGAGGAACACCGGUGGCGAAGGCGGUUCUCUGGGCAUUACCUGACGCUGAGGGAAGC
rnacentral:rRNA from 1 species